rnacentral:lncRNA from 1 species
GGUUCUUCCCAUUGAUUAGGGUCUCUAUGGAUAGCCCAUGCAUUAACCAAUACAAUUGUGUCACGUGGUAUUUUGUACCCGCUGAUUGUACAAUCAUGGGAGGUUAGAUGUGGCACUAGCAUUGGAGCAGUUGGGUUCAAUCGAAGAGUCUCAGAGAUGAUUCCUUGAAGAUAUGGUAACUUGGGGAUAUCCGAUUCUUCUACAAGUCGUUUUUCUCCAAUUUGAGCGUCUAUCUCUUCUCUAGCCUUUUUUAGUACAUCUGGAUUGUUGAGCAAAUGAGCUAGAAUCCAUUCAAUUGUCACAGCUGAAGUGUCUACUCCUGCUAGUAGUAACUAAUAAAAAAAAAAAAAACCCGAGUAUGAAUGGAUAUGAAUAAUUAGAUUUAAAUGGACAAAAGAUUAGUGUAUAUAUCUAAUUAUUUUAUUUCAUUUAAUUUUUCAAUAAUUUAACUUAUGAUAGGAGGAAAAAAAAAGUUAAAAAAUAAUUGUAAGUUUGUGUCCAAUAUCUUAUAUACAAGUUAUUUAAAUAAUUUGAUUAUUUACUUUUACAAUAAAAUGAAUGGAAAACAAAAACUAAACUAUUUAUAAAAUAGAGGAGAAUCAAUAGGCUAAUUCUAAUGUCUUAAUAAAUAAGUUAGUAUCCACUACAAAAAUAUUUUGUUUUUUUUUUUAAUUCCUUGAGAAACUCCCAAUUUUAAAUAUCUUGAAUAUAUUUGUUUACUAAAAUUUUAUUUUGAAAAGAUUAUUUAGUAAGUCUAUAUCAGAUCUUUUGUACAUAAUAUUAAACUUUCAGUACUGAGUUUAGUAAUAAUCUUUAGAAAAAGAAUUUUGAUAGCUUAACCAAAAAUACUCAUGAAAGAUUCAUUCUUUUCCGUUCUUUUAUUUUCGUUUGUACUUUCUUUGACCCUUCUUUCCAUAUUUUUUUCUGUAAUUUUAUUUUUAUUUUUAUCUUUUUUUUCUCUUCUUUUGCAAAUAUAUUUUAAACUAAAUUUCUUUCUAUUUAGAAAAAAAUGAAUUAAAAUUUACGGUUUUUUAUUAAAAAAUAUUUUAAUGUUUUUUUUCUCCACCUACAUAUUUUUUCCAACUUAAGCUUUGAAUUUUGGUAAUUUUGAUUAGUUAUAUUAAAGUAUGCUUUUACUAACUUUUGUUCCAUUCUUUUUAAUCUUUAGUCGUAUAAUAUGUUUUUCUAAUUAUAAAUUAGUUAAGUCUUAACUAAUUUUUAAUUUGAAUUAACUGAGUAUAACUACAAUGUUAUAUUAAGCAUCAUUAUGAUCCGAAUAAAAUUUCAAAUGUUUUUUUAUUAUAAUUGAAUAAAUGUUGUAAAUUAUAAUAAAAUUUUCAACAAUUAAUUUCUUAUAAUUUUUUUCGACUCUAUUUUAUGAGAAUUUUUAAAAAUAGGUAAUUUUAUAAAAUAUUUACCAAAUUGUCUAUGACAAAUUCAAUUAUUGAUAUGUCAUCACACAUAAAAUUCAAUCAAAAUUCAAAAUUCAAAUUUUGUUAUAGAAACUAAACAUUUUAAUUUAUUUUGCUAUUUUAAAAAAUGUUCAUUUAUUUUACUUAUAAUUUAUAAUUUUGUUUACUAUUGUUUUAUUUAUUUAUAUAUAUUGUUGACAGUUGCUCUUUUAAUUGUUUUAUUUAGAAUAUUUUUCAACUAUUGUUGGUUUAUUAUUGUUCUAUCUAUAACCUUUUUUUUACUAACGUCAAGUGAUAACCGUCACCAACCUCUAAUCACAAUCUACGACAAAAAGUAGUAAUAAUGAUAAAUACUUUUUAAUAAAAGAAAAAAUAACAUUGAAAAUAACUUAAAAUAUUUUUAAAAAAUAAAUAACCAUUAAUAUUUGUAUUUAGUUUUUCUAAAUAGAAAGAAAUUUAGUUUAAAAAUACAAAUAAAAAAGCAUCGAAGAAAAGAGAGAAAAAGAGAGGAGAAAUAAAGAAUAAAAAAGGGAUAGAGAGUCUAAGCUGUUAAAAAUAGUAAAAUAAACGGAAAUAUUUAAUAAAUAUAGUAAAUUUAUAAAAAUUUUGCCAUAGACUGUUAAAAAUAUUUAUAAAAUACAAUAAAAUUUCAAAUUAUAUAAAUGAUUUUACAAUAUUUUUGUUCUGUUCACAAUUUUAUAUUUGAAAAGGUUUAUUUAUCAAUGUUUUCCCCCAAAAGUUUUGUAUUAGAUUUUAUGGCAAAUAUAUGCUAUGACUACAGGAGAGACGUAGCCGCAAGGUCACUACUUCCAAUCCAAAAGAGAAGGAAAAAACUCCAAAUUCACGAGCAGGAUUAACUAAAACCGAAUGGGAAUGGAGAUUGAAAAUUGUUUACUUAAAGGAAGGUUAUUGAAAGUGAGUGAGAAAUUAUGGAGAUUAAUUACCAGAACAAUUCCUUUGAUUAUUUCAUCUCCAUAGUACUCAGGCUCCAUUUCCUGCAGAGAUAGCAAAUGACCGAUCACCGUGUUCCUUUCUUCUUCCUUAUUGCUCCGAUGUUCAUCAAUCAAUCCCUGCAGAAACGCGUCCAUCCUCUUCGCAACUCUCCAAACCUUCCUCUUAAAUCCAUUCGGGAUCCAAUUCAUCAUCGGAAUGAAAUCUCCCGGAUACGAUACUCCUCCCAUCGACACGAUCUGUUUAAUCAGCUCUCUCGACUGUCUCGCUUCCUCCACAUCCCUCACCUCCUCACCAAAAUACCUCUUUCCUGCCGCCAUUCUCAUCGAUAUGUUAAACGUCCGUUCCGAAAUCGCCGACUGCAUCUCUACUUUCGAGAAUCCAUACAUCGAAUUUCUCGAUAGCUUCUUCAGUAACCGUUCCACUUCAUCCUUCCGGCUUCCUGCGAAUUUAUUGAGGCGAGACGCUGAAAAGAUCUCGAUCGCGCCGAUUCUGCGGAGGUUCCGCCAGUGAUCUCCAUAAGGUGACGAUACCAUCGUAGUGUAGUUGUAGCUGAUGUGUUUCCCGACUAGCAAGCGAGGACGGUUGGCUAAAACAAUGUCGUUCUUAGUGAAACACUCCUCCACUGCCGGCAACGAGGAGACGACCACAACGAGGCGAGAUCCAAGCCAGAGAGAGAUUACUGGUCCGUAUUGCGCAGAGAGUUUGUGUAAAGUUUGGUGAUGGGGGAUUUUGAGGUAAUGGAGGUGGCCGAUGAUAGGGAGAGACGGGGGACUGGGGGGUAAGUUUGUACGGCGGGUGCGGAGGUUGAAAGCGAAGAGGAGAGAGAUAAGGGAGAGAAAUAGGUAAAGGAGAGAGUAAAUUUGCAUGGCGUUUUUGUUGAAAAAAGUAAUAUUUAAAUUUGGAGUUGGGGAGUGAAGAUGAAGAGGUGGCUACUAGGGGUGAGGUAUUUAUAGAGAUUGAAGCCACCAGAAUGACCUUGGCAGUGUGCUGUAAUAACAUACAUUAUGAAGUCCAUUUUAUGUACGAGUUUCAAUUGAAAUCCAAAAUUUCUAUGCAUGUAAAUCCAUCUUGAGUAGAGACAAAACUAUAUAUUAAUCUUUUUCCACGUUGACAAAGUAUCUGCUGAAGAUACUCAACCCCUUUUUGGCUUCUCUCUCUUCUUUCCUUUUAUCUAUUAUAAUCAUCAUAAUCGAAGGAAAAUGCAUGACUGACAUGUGUAGAGUUUAAUGAUCCUUCAAUUGCCAUAUGUAUCAACAGUUAUGAGAUUUUCAAUUUUAAUAAUACUCUCUAGUUCUUCCUAUUCUUAAAAGAGACUACGAUUGCUUUUGUGGUUGAAAAUUAGACUCAUCAUGUCUCACAUAUAUUCUACUAAAAAUGUGAUUAUUUUUAAAUAUUUAAAGAAUUUACAUAAUAAUCAUGACAUAUUGUAGUGCAUCAAUGCUUUUUUAUUGGUACAUAAUUUCAAAGUUUCAAAUUUCUUGUUUUUACUUUCUUUUUUUUUUUAACGAAUAACAAAUUUGACCUGAAAUUAAAAUUUUAAUCAAUGUUUUCUAAUAAGACGUGUCAACUCUAGCUUAUAUCAAAUAAUUGAAAGAUGUAUAUAUUAUGGACUAAAAUAUUAGAGAUUUAAAUCUUUUCACAUUACUGUUUUCAAAAACCGCAUCAACAAAAUGUAUUCAUAAAGUGCAACUAAAUAUUGUGUUCUGAAAAUUCCCACAACAAAUUUAUAGAAGUAUUACAACAAGAUUGGAAUCAAAUAAUAAAAUAUAUAAUUUCUUUGAUCACAUCUAAAUUAUAUGGAAUGAAUAUAGUUAUUAGACUCUUACUAGUAUCAAUUUAAAUUUUAAACUUACAUUCUACUUAAAUACAUUUGAGAAAGUUGAAAGUCUAAAUUGAUAUAAUAAUGAGUUUAGGGUUUAAAUUGGUAUUGAUAUAUAAUUGCCAUAAAUUUUAUAAAUCUUUGAAUUGAUUAGACCUAAACUUCUCAGUUGGACAACAAAUAGAGAACUGUUCAGUACCGAUUUAAACUUUAUAAGAUAGACGAUGUGAUUUGUUAGGUAUUGUUAUAAUCCAAAUAUUUAAAACUGAAAAGUAAGUUUGCCCAAGCUUCCCAUGUUAAUUAGAGUCUAAUGGGAGUAAACUUACCUGACUUAUAAAUAUUAUUUAAAAAUGUUUACCCAUUAGCAUGAUUUUAAAAUUUUAUAUGUAUUAUAUUAUUUUAGAUUAAUAAUUUUUUUAUUAUUCGUAAGUGUUUAUUGUUUCAUUCUAAAAUUUAAAUAAUUUACACUUUAAACACGUGUUAUUAUAAUCAAAACUAAAAUAGUUUACAUUUCAAACACAUAAUAUUAUAACUAAAAUUAAAAUAAUUUACUAUUCAAAUACAUAUUAUUAUAAUAAAAACUAAUAAUAUAUUAUUGGAUCGUUAUAAUGGUUACAAUACUCUAUAAUAACUUAGGAACAUAAUAACCAACUUAUAUAUAUUGAUAUAGAUUCAUAUGAUUAGGUAUUUAGGAAUUGUUAAACAUGGAAGUAAAGUUGAAAUGAAAUUAUGACUUAUGGAAAAACAAAACAAAAGUAAAAAAGAGAAACAGAAUCUUCCAACCGAAUAAAUGGAAAAAUGGGACAAAAUUUCAAAUAAACCUAAAAAAAAAUGGGGAAUACAUAAAACAAAUGCAGUAUUGAUGAGAAAUGAGAGGAUGUAAUGUAAGGGGUAGAAAAGGCAAAAUAAGUGUAAAAUGAGUUAGACCAUAUAUUUCUAAACUUUUGCUACAAAUAAUAGGUAAUAUAUAUAUGCAUCAUUAUUCAAAUUAAAUCUCAAUUACCUAAUGCUAUGAUACAACAAAUCAACCAUACAUCAACAAGCCUCCUUGAAGAUAUAUAUAUAUAUAUAUAUAUAUAUAUAUAUAUAUAUAUAUAUAUAUAUAUAUAUAUAUAUAUAUAUAUAUAUAUAUAUAUAUAUAUUGUGAAUUAUUAAAUAUAAACAAUACCUUUAAAUUAAUAAUCCAAUCAUUUUUCAGUUAAAAAUGUUGUGGACGAUAGGACGAGCUUUGCACAUAGCUUCCAAUGGCACCACCUUGGGCAUAGUGACGCCUCUUCCUUCCGUCAUGUCCACUUUCUCUUCCCCAAUCCUCUCCCACUCGUAGCAUUGAAUCAGAGUCGCUAGAGUCAGUCCCACCACUCGUUGAGCCAUGCUGGAGCCGGGGCAAGCUCGUCGUCCGACUCCAAAUGGAAUCAUCUUUGGGAUUUGAUGAUGGUCACUUGAUUCUAAGUUUUGGUGUCUUUCUGGCUUGAAUAAUGUGGGCUCUUCCCAUUGACUAGGGUCUCUGUGGAUAGCCCAUGCAUUAACCAAUACAAUCGUAUCACGUGGUAUUUCGUACUCACUGAUUGUACAAUUGUUGGAUGUUAGAUGUGGCACUAGCAUUGGAGCAGCUGGGUUCAAUCGAAGAGUCUCAUAAAUGAUUCCUUGAAGAUAUGGUAACUUAGAGACGUCUAAUUCUUCUGCUAGUUGUUUUUCUCCAAUUUGAUUGUCCAACUCUUCUCUAGCCUUUUUUAGUACCUCUGGAUUGUUGAGCAAGUGAGCUAAAGCCCAUUCAAUUGUCACAGCUGAUGUGUCUGUUCCAGCUAGUAGUAACACCUGUACGCUUAUUUUUGUUUAGAGUUUGAUAUAAUACACACAAAACAGAUAUCACAAAACAAAAACAAAUCCUACCAAGUCAAUAAUUAGGACUAAAUAUGGAAAAAUUAGUAAAAAAAAAUCUAAACAAUGUUAUUUCAAAGCAAACACUCUUUCAUGUUACUCCUAACCCUAAAGCUUGUAAGCCAUAAUUAAAUAUGAAAAUUAAUUAAUGGUAAUUUUCUCUCUACAAUAUGGCCAAGUGCUUCCCCAACGUCAAAGGUGCGUGACUUUUUCUUUUUUCACUCAAAGCAAACAGUUUGUGCAUGAAAAUAUUAGAGCAUUUUUCUAUCUUUGCCCCAAAAUGCUUUUAAAAAUAGUUUGAGGGGAAAUGCUAAAUGUAGAGGAGAGACGAUAGGGGUCCCCCAGGCCGCAAGGCCACCACUUUGAAUCUUCGUUGCCAUUCUGUCCUAUUAUAUGUUCUUAUAUAUAUUUCGGGGAUUACCCAAAAGAGAUGGAUAAAGAGCAAAAUUCUUGAGAAUAAUGGCAAUGAAGAUUGAAAAUGAGUGAGAAAUUAUGGAGAUUAAUUACCAGAACAAUUCCUUUGAUUAUUUCAUCUCCAUAGUACUCAGGCUCCGUUUCCUGCAGAGAUAGCAAAUGAUCGAUCAUUGUGUUCCUUUCCUCUUCCUUAUUGCUCCGAUGUUCAUCAAUCAAUCCCUGCAAAAACCUGUCCAUCCUUUUCCCAAGUCUCGAAACCUUCCUCUUAUAUCCAUUCGGGACCCAAUUCAUCAUCGGAAUGAAAUCUCCCGGAUUCGAUACUCCUCCCAUCGACACAAUCUGUUUAAUCAGCUCUCUCGACUGUCUCGCUUCCUCCACAUCCCUCACUUCAUCACCGAAAUACCUCUUUCCGGCCGCCAUUCUCAUCGAUAUGUUAAACGUGAGUUCCGAAAUCGACGAUUGCAUCUCUACUUUCGAGUAUCCAUGCAUCGAAUUCCUCGAUAGCUUCUUCAGUAACCGUUCCACUUCAUCCUUCCGGGUUCCUGCGAAUUUAUUGAGGCGAGACGCUGAAAAGAUCUCGAUGGCUCCGAUUCGGCGGAGGUUCCGCCAGUGGUCUCCGUAAGGUGACCCUACCAUCGUAGUGUGGUUGUAGCCGAUGUGUUUUCCGAAUAGCAACCGAGGACGGUUGGCUAAAACGAUGUCGUUCUUAGUGAAGCACUCCUCCACUGCUGGCAAUGACGAGACGACCACAACGAGGCGAGAUCCAAACCGGAGAGAGAUUAAUGGUCCGUAUUUUGCAGAGAGUUUGUGUAAAGUUCGGUGGAGGGGGAUUUUGAUAUAAUGGAGGUGGCCGAUGAUGGGGAGAGACGGAGGACUGGGGGGUAAGUUUGUAGGGCGGGUGCGGAGGUUGAAGGCGAAGAGGAGAGAGAUAAUAGAGAGAAAUAGGUAAAGGAGAGAGCAACAUUCCAUGGCGUUUUUGUUAAAGAAGAAGUAUGUUUAAAUUUGGAGUUGGGGAGUGAAGAUGAAGAUAUGGGUACAUGGGUGAGGUAUUUAUGGUAUUGAAGCCACGACAACGACAUUGUGUAAUCACAUUCAGCUAUUUUAAACUAAAUAUAAUUCCAUCAAAUAUCUUUCUUCUUCAUUUCCUUUCCCAACAUUUUCAAAUCUGUUUACUCCUCAGACCUUAGUUAUAGAAAAACCAAUAUCAUAGGUUUAAUCAAUUAUUUAUUUGGCCAACUUUUCGUAAUGUUUCUAAUGCUUUUGUUUUUGUGCACCCAUGGAAUGAAGAGUAUAAACGUCCAUUUCUUUCUUUUAUCGCUUUUUUAGUAUUAGUCAUGUCAUAUGCAAAUAUGUUUUUGUAACAUCUUUUGUGUGGAUGGAUUUGGUUUCAUUUCUUUCUUCUUCUUUUCAUUCUUUUCUUCCUGUUUUUGUUUAGUUUGUGCUUUGACAUACGUUCAAAUUUAAUACAUUUGCAAACAUAAUAUAAUAAAUAAUAAUAAUAAAAUAAUUAAAAAAAGCUUAGAGUUAGAUAUGUUUAGUUGUAAUGCUAGUUUAGCUAAAGUUUAUUUAUUCAUUUAUAAAUCUUCUCGACAUAUGUUCGUUCAAGGUUUGAUAUAUCUUUUAAAAAUAUUGAUAACUGACACUCCUCUUCUCUUUUUCAUGUCUUUUAUCCUACCUCAUAAUAGUAACUAAGGAACGGACAAAUAGACCAUAAUAUAUAUGCAUUACUAUUCAAAUUAAAUCUUAGUUACUUAAUAUUCUACCAUACAACAAAACAACCCUACAUUAACACACCUCCUUUUAAGAUAAAGAUGUCACUUUCUUUUUUUUUUUUUUUUUGUAAAUUAUUAAAUAUAAACAAUACCCUUAAACAAUCCAAUCAUUUUUCAGAAUUUUUAGUUAAAAAUGUUGUGGAUGAUAGGGCGAGGUUUGCACAUGGCUUCCAGUGGCACCAUCUUGGGCAUAGUGACGCCUCUUCCUUCCGACAUGUCCACUUUCUCGUCACCAAUCCUUUCCCACUCGUAGCAUUGAAUUAGCGCCGCCAGAGUCAACCCCACCACUCGUUGAGCCAUGCCCGAGCCGGGGCAAGCUCGUCGUCCGACUCCAAAUGGGAUCAACUUUGAAAUAUGAUGAUCAAUUGAUUCUGACUUUUGGUGUCUUUCUGGUUUGAAUAGUGUGGGUUCUUCCCAUUGAUUAGGGUCUCUAUGGAUAGCCCAUGCAUUAACCA